CAGUAGCCGCGGUAAUACGAAGGGUGCAAGCGUUACUCGGAAUUACUGGGCGUAAAGCGUGCGUAGGUGGUGGUUUAAGUCCGUUGUGAAAGCCCUGGGCUCAACCUGGGAAUUGCAGUGGAUACUGGGUCACUAGAGUGUGUCAGAGGAUGGUGGAAUUCCCGGUGUAGCGGUGAAAUGCGUAGAGAUCGGGAGGAACAUCAGUGGCGAAGGCGGCCAUCUGGGACAACACUGACGCUGAGGCACGAAAGCGUGGGGAGCAAACAGGAUUAGAUACCCCAGUAGUCCCUGUCUCUUAUAA
rnacentral:rRNA from 1 species